rnacentral:rRNA from 1 species
CCUANGGGGGGCAGCAGUAGGGAAUAUUGGGCAAUGGGCGAAAGCCUGACCCAGCAACGCCGCGUGCACGAUGAAGGUCUUCGGAUCGUAAAGUGCUUUUCUGGGAGAUGAGAAAGGACAGUAUCCCAGGAAUAAGCCUCGGCUAACUACGUGCCAGCAGCCGCGGUAAAACGUAGGAGGCAAGCGUUAUCCGGAUUUACUGGGCGUAAAGCGCGUGUAGGCGGUUUGGUAAGUUGGAUGUGAAAUCUCCCGGCUCAACUGGGAGGGGUCGUUCAAAACUACCAGACUUGAGGGCAGUAGAGGAAGGUGGAAUUCCCGGUGUAGUGGUGAAAUGCGUAGAUAUCGGGAGGAACACCAGUGGCGAAAGCGGCCUUCUGGACUGCAUCUGACGCUCAGACGCGAAAGCUAGGGGAGCAAACGGGAUUAGAUACCCCUNUANUC